GUGGCUGUAGCUCAGUGGUAGAGCACUCACCUAGCAUGUGCGAGGCCCUGGGUUUGAUUAUCAGCACCACA
rnacentral:tRNA from 1 species